rnacentral:rRNA from 1 species
GGCAUGCUGGAGGUAUCAGAAGUGCGAAUGCUGACAUAAGUAACGAUAAAGCGGGUGAAAAGCCCGCUCGCCGGAAGACCAAGGGUUCCUGUCCAACGUUAAUCGGGGCAGGGUGAGUCGACCCCUAAGGCGAGGCCGAAAGGCGUAGUCGAUGGGAAACGGGUUAAUAUUCCCGUACUUGGUGUUACUGCGAAGGGGGGACGGAGAAGGCUAUGUUGGCCGGGCGACGGUUGUCCCGGUUUAAGCGUGUAGGUGUGUGUUCCAGGUAAAUCCGGUUCACUUUAACACUGAGGCGUGACGACGAGGCACUACGGUGCUGAAGCAACAAAUGCCCUGCUUCCAGGAAAAGCCUCUAAGCAUCAGGUAACAUCAAAUCGUACCCCAAACCGACACAGGUGGUCAGGUAGAGAAUACCAAGGCGCUUGAGAGAACUCGGGUGAAGGAACUAGGCAAAAUGGUGCCGUAACUUCGGGAGAAGGCACGCUGACACGUAGGUGAAGUGAUUUACUCAUGGAGCUGAAGUCAGUCGAAGAUACCAGCUGGCUGCAACUGUUUAUUAAAAACACAGCACUGUGCAAACACGAAAGUGGACGUAUACGGUGUGACGCCUGCCCGGUGCCGGAAGGUUAAUUGAUGGGGUCAGCGCAAGCGAAGCUCCUGAUCGAAGCCCCGGUAAACGGCGGCCGUAACUAUAACGGUCCUAAGGUAGCGAAAUUCCUUGUCGGGUAAGUUCCGACCUGCACGAAUGGCGUAAUGAUGGCCAGGCUGUCUCCACCCGAGACUCAGUGAAAUUGAACUCGCUGUGAAGAUGCAGUGUACCCGCGGCAAGACGGAAAGACCCCGUGAACCUUUACUAUAGCUUGACACUGAACAUUGAGCCUUGAUGUGUAG